UAUCUCUGUAGAGUCUGCAUAUCAAUAAGCGGAGGAAAAGAAACUAACUAGGAUUCCCUUAGUAACGGCGAGUGAAGCGGGAAGAGCUCAAAUUUGAAAUCUUCAAGGUUUUACCUUGACGAAUUGUAGUUUAAAGAAGUGUUUUCUGUUGGUGUUUUGGUAAAAGUUCUUUGGAAUAGGACAGUCAUAGAGGGUGAGAAUCCCGUAUUUGACCAUUACUUUCCAGCUUUGUGAUACACUUUCAAAGAGUCGGAUUGUUUGGGAAUGCAGUCCAAAAUGGGUGGUAAAUUUCAUCUAAAGCUAAAUAUUGACGAGAGACCGAUAGCGAACAAGUACCGUGAGGGAAAGAUGAAAAGAACUUUGAAAAGAGAGUUAAACAGUACGUGAAAUUGUCAAAAGGGAAGCGUUUGACACCAGUGUUGUUUUCUCGAAAAUCAAUUAAAAAAGGCAGGAUUUUGUGUUGUAUUGACUUUAUCAGCUUUCUGCACUCUUUUCUUGUCCUUUUUUUAAUGCACUUUUCGUUUAACAAGUCAACAUCAAUUUCUUUUGUUGUAAAAGGGUCAUUGGAAGGUGGCUUUCUUUUCGGAGAAAGUGUUUAUAGCCUUUGGCCUCUGCAAUCGGAGAGAUUGAGGUCUGCAGCGUAGAUCCUUCGGGGUUAGAUACAUUUGUGCUAAGUUAUAGCCUUUCAUAGACAACUUGUUGACUAUGAUCAGUCAUGUAGCUUACUCGCUUAUGCUAUUUUACCUACGCUUAGGAUGUUGAUAGUCACAGCGUGUAC
rnacentral:rRNA from 1 species